rnacentral:rRNA from 1 species
GAGUAGUACAAGUUAUUAUCUUUAAACUCAAAAAAUUUGGCGGUAUUUUAUCUUAUUAGAGGAACCUGUUUAUUAAUUGAUAAUCCACAACUUAAAUUUACUUUUAAAAUUAUAUUUGUAUACCGCUGUCAUGAAUCUAUUAAGAAAUUUUAUUUUCUAUCAUUUAUAUAAAAUUUAUGUUAGGUCAAGGUGCAGUAUUUAAAAGUUUUAAUGGGUUACUUUAUUAUAAUGAAUGGAAAUUUAGAUUUGUUAUUUUUUUUGAAAAAGGAUUUAAUAGUAAAAUAAUUUUUAAGAAAUAAAAUGAAUAUAGAUUCUAAAAUAUG